GCCGUCUUAGCUCAAUAGGUAGAGCGUUUCCGUGGUAAGGAAAAGAUCCUGGGUUCAAACCCCGGAAACGGCU
rnacentral:tRNA from 2 species